UACAGAGGGUGCGAGCGUUAAUCGGAAUUACUGGGCGUAAAGCGUGCGCAGACGGUUGCGUAAGUCAGAUGUGAAAGCCCCGGGCUCAACCCGGGAGGGUCGUGGCAAACCGGCGGGCUUGAGGCCGGUAGAGGUGGGUGGAACUCCUGGUGGAGUGGUGAAAUGCGUAGAGAUCAGGAAGAACACCCGUGGCGAAGGCGGCCCACUGGGCCGGUACUGACGCUGAGGCGCGAAGGCGUGGGGAGCGAACGGG
rnacentral:rRNA from 1 species